UACAGAGGGUGCGAGCGUUGUCCGGAAUCACUGGGCGUAAAGGGCGCGUAGGCGGCCCCUUAAGCGUGUGGUGAAAGCGCGGGGCUCAACCCCGCGUCGGCCAUGCGGACUGGGGGGCUUGAGCACUGUAGAGGCAGGCGGAAUUCCGGGUGUAGCGGUGGAAUGCGUAGAGAUCCGGAAGAACACCGGUGGCGAAGGCGGCCUGCUGGGCAGUGGCUGACACUGAGGCGCGACAGCGUGGGGAGCAAACAGG
rnacentral:rRNA from 1 species